GAAACGAAGUGAUCUAUCCAUGAGCAAGUUGAAGCUAGUGUAAGAACUAGUGGAGGACUGAACCCAUAGGCGUUGAAAAGCCCCGGGAUGACUUGUGGAUAGGGGUGAAAGGCCAAUCAAACUUCGUGAUAGCUGGUUCUCUCCGAAAUAUAUUUAGGUAUAGCGUUGUGUCGUAAUAUAAGGGGGUAGAGCACUGAAUGGGCUAGGGCAUACACCAAUGUACCAAACCCUAUCAAACUCCGAAUACCUUAUAUGUAAUCACAGCAGUCAGGCGGCGAGUGAUAAAAUCCGUCGUCAAGAGGGAAACAACCCAGACUACCAGCUAAGGUCCCUAAAUCUUACUUAAGUGGAAAACGAUGUGAAGUUACUUAAACAACCAGGAGGUUGGCUUAGAAGCAGCCAUCCUUUAAAGAAAGCGUAAUAGCUCACUGGUCUAGUGAUUUUGCGCGGAAAAUAUAACGGGGCUAAAGUAAGUACCGAAGCUGUAGACUUAGUUUACUAAGUGGUAGGAGAGCGUUCUAUUUGCGUCGAAGGUAUACCGGUAAGGAGUGCUGGAGCGAAUAGAAGUGAGCAUGCAGGCAUGAGUAGCGAUAAUUAAUGUGAGAAUCAUUAACGCCGUAAACCCAAGGUUUCCUACGCGAUGCUCGUCAUCGUAGGGUUAGUCGGGUCCUAAGUCGAGUCCGAAAGGGGUAGACGAUGGCAAAUUGGUUAAUAUUCCAAUACCAACAUUAGUGUGCGAUGGAAGGACGCUUAGGGCUAAGGGGGCUAGCGGAUGGAAGUGCUAGUCUAAGGUCGUAGGAGGUUAUACAGGCAAAUCCGUAUAACAAUACUCCGAGAACUGAAAGGCUUUUUGAAGUCUUCGGAUGGAUAGAAGAACCCCUGAUGCCGUCGAGCCAAGAAAAGUUUCUAAGUUUAGCUAAUGUUGCCCGUACCGUAAACCGACACAGGUGGGUGGGAUGAGUAUUCUAAGGCGCGUGGAAGAACUCUCUUUAAGGAACUCUGCAAAAUAGCACCGUAUCUUCGGUAUAAGGUGUGGUUAGCUUUGUAUUAGGAUUUACUCCGAAAGCAAGGAAACUUACAACAAAGAGUCCCUCCCGACUGUUUACCAAAAACACAGCACUCUGCUAACUCGUAAGAGGAUGUAUAGGGUGUGACGCCUGCCCGGUGCUCGAAGGUUAAUUGAUGGGGUUAGCAUUAGCGAAGCUCUUGAUCGAAGCCCGAGUAAACGGCGGCCGUAACUAUAACGGUCCUAAGGUAGCGAAAUUCCUUGUCGGUUAAAUACCGACCUGCAUGAAUGGCGUAACGAGAUGGGAGCUGUCUCAAAGAGGGAUCCAGUGAAAUUGUAGUGGAGGUGAAAAUUCCUCCUACCCGCGGCAAGACGGAAAGACCCCGUGGACCUUUACUACAGCUUGACACUGCUACUUGGAUAAGAAUGUGCAGGAUAGGUGGGAGGCUUUGAGUAUAUGACGCCAGUUGUAUAUGAGCCAUUGUUGAGAUACCACUCUUUCUUAUUUGGGUAGCUAACCAGCUUGAGUUAUCCUCAAGUGGGACAAUGUCUGGUGGGUAGUUUGACUGGGGCGGUCGCCUCCCAAAUAAUAACGGAGGCUUACAAAGGUUGGCUCAGAACGGUUGGAAAUCGUUCGUAGAGUAUAAAGGUAUAAGCCAGCUUAACUGCAAGACAUACAAGUCAAGCAGAGACGAAAGUCGGUCUUAGUGAUCCGGUGGUUCUGUGUGGAAGGGCCAUCGCUCAAAGGAUAAAAGGUACCCCGGGGAUAACAGGCUGAUCUCCCCCAAGAGCUCACAUCGACGGGGAGGUUUGGCACCUCGAUGUCGGCUCAUCGCAUCCUGGGGCUGGAGCAGGUCCCAAGGGUAUGGCUGUUCGCCAUUUAAAGCGGUACGCGAGCUGGGUUCAGAACGUCGUGAGACAGUUCGGUCCCUAUCUGCCGUGGGCGUAAGAAGAUUGAAGAGAUUUGACCCUAGUACGAGAGGACCGGGUUGAACAAACCACUGGUGUAGCUGUUGUUCUGCCAAGAGCAUCGCAGCGUAGCUAAGUUUGGAAAGGAUAAACGCUGAAAGCAUCUAAGCGUGAAGCCAACUCUAAGAUGAAUCUUCUCUAAGCUCUCUAGAAGACUACUAGUUUGAUAGGCUGGGUGUGUAAUGGAUGAAAGUCCUUUAGCUGACCAGUACUAAUAGAGCGUUUGGCUUAUCUUUAAUAAAGCAU
rnacentral:rRNA from 1 species